UGGGGAAUUUUGGACAAUGGGCGAAAGCCUGAUCCAGCAAUGCCGCGUGUGUGAAGAAGGCCUUCGGGUUGUAAAGCACUUUUGUCCGGAAAGAAAUCCUUGGCUCUAAUACAGUCGGGGGGAUGACGGUACCGGAAGAAUAAGCACCGGCUAACUACGUGCCAGCAGCCGCGGUAAUACGUAGGGUGCAAGCGUUAAUCGGAAUUACUGGGCGUAAAGCGUGCGCAGGCGGUUUGCUAAGACCGAUGUGAAAUCCCCGGGCUCAACCUGGGAACUGCAUUGGUGACUGGCAGGCUAGAGUAUGGCAGAGGGGGGUAGAAUUCCACGUGUAGCAGUGAAAUGCGUAGAGAUGUGGAGGAAUACCGAUGGCGAAGGCAGCCCCCUGGGCCAAUACUGACGCUCAUGCACGAAAGCGUGGGGAGCAAACAGGAUUAGAUACCCUGGGUAGUCCACGCCCUAAACGAUGUCAACUAGUUGUUGGGGAUUCAUUUCCUUAGUAACGUAGCUAACGCGUGAAGUUGACCGCCUGGGGAGUACGGUCGCAAGAUUAAAACUC
rnacentral:rRNA from 1 species